GCUGGCGGCGUGCCUAAUACAUGCAAGUGGGACGCAAGGGAACACACUGUGCUUGCACACCGUGUUUUCUUGAGUCGCGAACGGGUGAGUAACGCGUAGGUAACCUGCCUAUUAGCGGGGGAUAACUAUUGGAAACGAUAGCUAAUACCGCAUAAUAUUAAUUAUUGCAUGAUAAUUGAUUGAAAGAUGCAAGCGCAUCACUAGUAGAUGGACCUGCGUUGUAUUAGCUAGUUGGUAAGGUAAGAGCUUACCAAGGCGACGAUACAUAGCCGACCUGAGAGGGUGAUCGGCCACACUGGGACUGAGACACGGCCCAGACUUCUACGGGAGGCAGCAGUAGGGAAUCUUCGGCAAUGGACGAAAGUCUGACCGAGCAACGCCGCGUGAGUGAAGAAGGUUUUCGGAUCGUAAAGCUCUGUUGUAAGUCAAGAACGUGUGUGAGAGUGGAAAGU
rnacentral:rRNA from 1 species